CACUAACAACUAAGUUUAUCUAUAACAAUUGUUU
rnacentral:rRNA from 1 species